rnacentral:RNase_MRP_RNA from 1 species
CUUUUUGGGAUGCGAAGUGGAGCAUCCCAUCAAGAUUAGCCGUUUUACCAAGAGCCUAUCGAG